rnacentral:rRNA from 1 species
UACGGAGGGGGCUAGCGUUGUUCGGAAUUACUGGGCGUAAAGCGCACGUAGGCGGCUUUGCAAGUCAGAGGUGAAAGCCCGGGGCUCAACCCCGGAAUUGCCUUUGAGACUGCAUCGCUAGAAUUGUGGAGAGGUAAGUGGAAUUCCGAGUGUAGAGGUGAAAUUCGUAGAUAUUCGGAAGAACACCAGUGGCGAAGGCGACUUACUGGACACAUAUUGACGCUGAGGUGCGAAAGUGUGGGGAGCGAACAGG